ACGGGAGGCAGCAGUGGGGAAUAUUGCACAAUGGGGGAAACCCUGAUGCAGCGACGCCGCGUGAGUGAAGAAGUAUUUCGGUAUGUAAAGCUCUAUCAGCAGGGAAGAAAAUGACGGUACUUGACUAAGAAGCCCCGGCUAACUACGUGCCAGCAGCCGCGGUAACACGUAGGGGGCAAGCGUUAUCCGGAUUUACUGGGUGUAAAGGGAGCGUAGACGGCAAAGCAAGUCUGAAGUGAAAUCCCGGGGCUCAACCCUGGAACUGCUUUGGAAACUGUUUAGCUAGAGUGCAGGAGAGGUAAGUGGAAUUCCUAGUGUAGCGGUGAAAUGCGUAGAUAUUAGGAGGAACACCAGUGGCGAAGGCGGCUUACUGGACUGUAACUGACGUUGAGGCUCGAAAGCGUGGGGAGCAAACAGGAUUAGAUACCCUGGUA
rnacentral:rRNA from 1 species